GCUGUUUUGUGCUUUUAAGGCUUAUCUUCCCCAUGUAAAGACAUCUCCGGGCUCCCAGCAAACACAAUAUCCAACGGUGGCCAAGUUGAGCAGCCCGAGCUGGCGUGUUUUUGAGAGUCAUCUAGCUGCUGAGGGAUUACAAGCUGUUCAAAGACUCCGAAGGGCCACUGGUGAAAAUUAAAAAAUAGGCUUCAAACGGACGCAUGCACCAUGCCUUUGUCUGUCCUGUCGAAAAGGUGGCUGCGCUACCUGUCAGCAUGGU